GAAUUCGAGUCAGGCCUAACACAUGCAAGUCGAACGAUGAAGCACCUUCGGGUGUGGAUUAGUGGCGAACGGGUGAGGAACACGUGAGAAAUCUGCCGUCAACUCUGGGAGAACUCGGGGAAACCGGGGCUAAUACCGGAUAUGAGCCUUGAUCGCAUGAUCGAGGCUGGAAAGGUUUUCGGUUGAAGAUGAUCUCGCGGCCUAUCAGCUUGUUGGUGAGGUAAUGGCUCACCAAGGCGACGACGGGUAUCCGGCCUGAGAGGGCGACCGGACACACUGGGACUGAGACACGGCCCAGACUCCUACGGGAGGCAGCAGUGGGGAAUAUUGGGCAAUGGGGGAAAGCCUGACCCAGCGACGCCGCGUGAGGGAUGAAGACGGUCGGGUUGUAAACCUCUUUCAGUAGGGAAGAAGCGAAA
rnacentral:rRNA from 1 species